rnacentral:rRNA from 1 species
CUACGGGCUGCAGCAGUGAGGAAUAUUGCACAAUGGGGGGAACCCUGAUGCAGCAACGCCGCGUAGAGGAUGACACAUUUCGGUGUGUAAACUCCUUUUAUAUGUCAAGAAAAUGACGGUAGCAUAUGAAUAAGCACCGGCUAACUCCGUGCCAGCAGCCGCGGUAAUACGGAGGGUGCAAGCGUUACUCGGAAUCACUGGGCGUAAAGGACGCGUAGGCGGGUUGGAAAGUCAGGUGUGAAAUCCUACAGCUUAACUGUAGAACUGCACUUGAAACUUCUAAUCUAGAGUAUGGGAGGGGGAGAUGGAAUUAGUGGUGUAGGGGUAAAAUCCGUAGAUAUCACUAGGAAUACCUAAAGCGAAGGCGAUCUCCUGGAACAUUACUGACGCUAAGGCGUGAAAGCGUGGGGAGCAAACAGGAUUAGAUACCCUUGUAGUC